GAUGAACGCUGGCGGCGUGCUUAACACAUGCAAGUCGAACGGACUUUUAAUGAAGCCUAGCGAUUUAAAAGUUAGUGGCGGACGGGUGAGUAACGCGUGGGUAACCUGCCUUAUACAGGGGGAUAACACUUAGAAAUAGGUGCUAAUACCGCAUAAGCGCACAGUAUCGCAUGAUACAGUGUGAAAAACUCCGGUGGUAUAAGAUGGACCCGCGUCUGAUUAGCUAGUUGGUGAGGUAACGGCUCACCAAGGCGACGAUCAGUAGCCGGCCUGAGAGGGUGAACGGCCACAUUGGGACUGAGACACGGCCCAAACUCCUACGGGAGGCAGCAGUGGGGAAUAUUGCACAAUGGGGGAAACCCUGAUGCAGCAACGCCGCGUGAGUGAAGAAGUAUUUCGGUAUGUAAAAGCUCUAUCAGCAGGGAAGAAAAUGACGGUACCUGACUAAGAAGCCCCGGCUAACUACGUG
rnacentral:rRNA from 1 species